GAAUAAUUUCCUUUUAAUUUGUCAUCGGUGUAGCCUGCCAGCUCCCUGUCCACGGUGUUUUCUCCAGCAAACCAGCCCCAGCCCAGUGCCACCAGUGCAGGUGAUGCUUCCAGGGCAAGCAGCAUGGUCAUUGCUUCUGCUGCACGUUAUCCAGCAGACCUGGGUGGGAGGGUAAAUAAAAAUGUCUGUGGCUGCCUCCGUGGACUAGCACUCCUGCUGCUUCUGACAGGAGGAAAAAGCAUUCCUGUUCUUCAAGAUGAAUCACUGGCAUUGUGUUUUUGUGGACAAAGUGAUCGCCUGAGCUACUCUGCAACAGCUACAGCACCACAGGUUACGAAGUGGAAAGGGGAACCUGGAUACCUGGAUCAAGAUUUAAAUCAUAAAGAAAUUAGUGCAAAAAAAAAAAAAAAAGCAUCGUCAGAUUCUCAGAAACCAUUACAUGAUGUAUUCUAUUAUUUAGCUUUGUUUAACUGGAGCUGAAGUUUUCACAGACUCAUGCAUAUUCUCUGAAUACAUUGGAAGAAAGAAAUGAAAUACUUAAUGACACAAUAAACAAAUUGCUCUGAGAAGCCUUGAGUUUCA
rnacentral:lncRNA from 1 species